rnacentral:miRNA from 1 species
CAAACCGAGACUCAUGGACUG